rnacentral:rRNA from 1 species
CGGGAAAUUUCAUAUUAAGCGAUGCAUGUCUAAGUGCAGGCACUUGGACUGUGAAACUGCGAAUGGAUCAUUAUAUCAGAUAUAGUUUAAUGAACGGAUGCCUACUGGCGGGAUCAUCCAGAAGACUAGAGAUAAUACAUGUGGGGCAGUGCCCCUUUUUUCACUCCGGGUAUUUAUUAUAUACAGACCCAUGCACGGAUUUCUCAGUGGUUUUGGUGUGCUUUAACCAUCCCCCGCAUCGCGUGUUGUUCAACCUUCCAUGGUCAUUUUCUUUCUGCCCUAUCCCUGUUUUGGAGGGUAUUGUACUACAAUGUUUGUUAUCGGGUGAAACACAAUUAGGGGAACCCCCCGGAGAGGGAACCUGAAACUCGUCUUUUCUUCCAAAGAAGGCACCAGGCGCGGAGAUUACCCAUCCUGAUACCGGGCCGCACUGACAAUACCCACCCCCCCGGGGCCAUCGGGUCUUUUAAUUGGAAUGACUACCAUCUACCUCCCUUAACGAGGAUCAAUUGGAGGGAUCGUCUGGCGCCAGGAACCCGGAAAUUUCCAGCUC